UGGAAGCACCCAGGCAGCACCCCAGAGCACCCAGGAGUUCCCAGGAGCAUCCAGGAGCACUCAGGAGCACCCAGGAGCACCCAGAAACACUCAGGAGUACCCAGGAGCACCCAGGAGCAUCCAGAAGCACUCAGGAGCACCUCCUAGCGCCCAGGAGCACCCAGGCAGUACCCCGGAGCACCCAGGAGCACCCAGGAACACCCAGGAGCGCCCAGGAGCAUCCAGGAGCACUCAGGAACACCCAGGAACACUCAGGAUUACCCAGGAGCACCCUGGAGCAUCCAGGAACACCCAGGAGUACCCAGGAGCAUCCAAGAGCAUCCAGGAGUACCCAGAAGCAUCCAGGAGCACCCAGGAGCACCCAUGAGCAUCCAGAAACACCCAGGAGUACCCAGGAGCACCCAGGAGCAUCCAGGAGCACUCAGGAUUACCCAGGAGCACCCAGGAGCAUCCAGGAACACCCAGGAGUACCCAGGAGCAUCCAAGAGCGUCCAGAAGCACUCAGGAGCAUCCCAUAGCGCCCAGGAGCACCCAGGCAGUACCCCGGAGCACUCAGGAACACCCAGGAGCGCCCAGGAGCAUCCAGGAGUACCCAAGAGUAACCAGGAGCACCCAGGCAGCACCCAGGUGCACUCAGGAGUACCCAAGCACCCAGGUGCACCCAGGAGCACUCUGGAGCACCCAGGAGCACUCAGGAUUACCCAGGAACAUCCAAGAACAUCCAGGAGUACCCAAGAGCAUCCAGGAGCAUCCAGGAGCAUCCAGGAGCAUCCAGUAGUACUCAAGAGCACCCAGGAGCAUCCAGGGGUACCCAAGAGCAACCAGGAGCACUCAGGAGUACCCAGGAGCACCCCGGAGCACCCAUGUGCACCCAGGAGACCCAGGUGCACCCAGGAGUACCCCGGAGCACCCAAGAGUGCCCAGGAGCACCCAGGAGCACCUAGGCAGCAGGCAGCCUACUGUCCAGAGGGCUGAGGCCCAGGCUUUGUGUGCAGGAUGCAUUCAGCAAAUGCCUGUCAGUUCAUUGAAUAAGCAAGGGAGGAAUAUAAGUUUUAGCAGCCACCUGGGUCUUUGGUGACACUCAGGUCUGGGUUAGAGUCCCAGAUCUGACCCUUCAACAGGUCACUUUCCUUCCUUGAGCCUCAGUUUCUCCAUCUGACCUCUCAGGGGGUUUGCGAAUGUAAAUAAGGCACAUAAUGCAGCUGCCUGGCCCCCUUCUCCAGCCCUCCCCAGCUUUCCUGCAGCCACUCAUUUUGCACUUUCCCCAGAGGACACCCUGGGGCUCCUGGAGCCAGUUCUCCUUACAGGUGGAGCUGGCCAUGCCUGGGAGCUAAUCUCCUCCAUAAAAAUAUACAAGUAUUUGUCUCAGGGCCUUGCUUCCAGAGUCAGCCUAAAAUUCAUACAUAAAUCUCUUCCCUCCCCCAGCAUGAUACCACCUGACAUUAGCGUGUAAUAUAGCCUUUCCUUAUCUCAGCAAGCACCUGCAGUGAGUAGGUUCUAAUGUUCCUAAGCAAAGGCCUGUACCCUCUUCCCAAGGGCACACUGUGUGUCCCCGAUGAAGUAGGAGAGCCAGAAACCUUAGCAAAGCCCCUGUUUUAAAGUGUUUGUUUCAGAAAUCAAGCUGACUUGCUUAGCAAGUGCAAGCAUCAGAGGACUUCCUUGUCCCUCGAUAUCGCAAAUAAGGUAAAAGAAAACAGGGAUUGGAUGUUGAGCAAGAGCUUGCUCAAAGCAACCAGGUGAGCAGGCAAAAGAUUUCCAUUUCCCACUUCCCAAGCCAAUAAAGAUGGCUGAGGAGAUAUGAGCAGAAGUUGCUGGGCAGGUUUCCCAGGAAAGCUCCAAAACAGUGUGUGCCCUUUUUGUUUUCUUCCUUCUUCUUCUUCCCUGGAAUAUAUACACGAUGGCUGGCACUCCAGUGGCCAUUCUGUGACCUUGAGGAUGGAGUCAAACUCUGAAUGUGACAGAGCAGAAAGACAGAAGGGUGGGCUCAGGCGAAUGUGACAGGGGACUCCACUCUCAGGCGAUUUCGUGGAGUGCCUCCUUGUGUGCGAGGCAACCUUCUAUGUGCUGGGGAUGUGGUCUGGAGCAAUGGUGUCCGUUCUGGUCGUCGGAGACGGCAUCGAGUGGAGUGGGAGUUGAAAAUCCAAGGACAUGGCGGUAAACCUCCUUGAGCCAUAGGCAAAAGAAACGCCCCUCGGGAUGACCAGAGAAGAGCCUGGGUUCCUGAAGGACCACACCAGGCAGAGUCACUAUGCCAGCCCUGCACUGCCUGCCUCCAGACUAGAGAAGGAGAGCAUGAGCGGGAGAGGGGC